GAAAUGCGAUAAUUAAUGUGAAUUGCAGAAUUCAGUGAAUCAUCGAGUCUUUGAAUGCACAUUGCGCCCCCUGGUAUUCCGGGGGGCAUGCCUGUCCGAGCGUCAUUGCUGCCCUCAAGCACGGCUUGUGUGUUGGGCUUCCGUCCCUGGCAACGGGGACGGGCCCAAAAGGCAGUGGCGGCACCAUGUCUGGUCCUCGAGCGUAUGGGGCUUUGUCACCCGCUCCCGUAGGUCCAGAUGGCAGCUAGCCUCGCAACCAAUCUUUUUAACCAGGUUGACCUCGGAUCAGGUAGGGAUACCCGCUGAACUUAAGC
rnacentral:misc_RNA from 1 species